GCCAUAAUUAGCUCAGUCAGUAGAGCAUGAGACUCAAUCUCAAGGUCGUGGGUUCGAGCCCUGCGUUGGGCA
rnacentral:tRNA from 1 species